AAUCAUUCACGGACAACACUUUU
rnacentral:ncRNA from 5 species